GCUUGACCAAACCUAGUAUGAGAUUUUAAGGAGAAAAACACGACCCGUGUGGGAGAUACAACACAAGGAGAGGAUCUACUUCUUUCUUUCUUUCUUUCUUUCUUCUUUUUUCUGAAAAAAAUGGAAGCCAUGAAUUGUAUUUGUAACUUAAAUAUUAAGGUUGUCUCCUUUUUUGAAGCAAUGAACAUCCUUAAACUUUUUUCUUUCUUCC
rnacentral:lncRNA from 1 species